AUUGAACGCUGGCGGCAUGCUUUACACAUGCAAGUCGAACGGUAACAGGCCUUCGGGUGCUGACGAGUGGCGAACGGGUGAGUAAUGCAUCGGAACGUGCCCAAUCGUGGGGGAUAACGUAGCGAAAGUUACGCUAAUACCGCAUAAGCCCUGAGGGGGAAAGUGGGGGACCGCAAGGCCUCACGCGAAUGGAGCGGCCGAUGUCAGAUUAGCUAGUUGGUGGGGUAAAGGCCCACCAAGGCGACGAUCAGUAGUUGGUCUGAGAGGAUGGCCAGCCACACUGGGACUGAGACACGGCCCAGACUCCUACGGGAGGCAGCAGUGGGGAAUUUUGGACAAUGGGCGAAAGCCUGAUCCAGCAAUGCCGCGUGAGUGAAGAAGGCC
rnacentral:rRNA from 1 species